rnacentral:rRNA from 1 species
UACGUAGGGGGCAAGCGUUGUCCGGAAUCAUUGGGCGUAAAGCGCGUGUAGGCGGUCCGGUAAGUCCGCUGUGAAAGUCGGGGGCUCAACCCUCGAAUGCCGGUGGAUACUGUCGGGCUAGAGUGCGGAAGAGGCGAGUGGAAUUCCUGGUGUAGCGGUGAAAUGCGCAGAUAUCAGGAGGAACACCAAUUGCGAAGGCAGCUCGCUGGGACGUAACUGACGCUGAGACGCGAAAGCGUGGGGAGCGAACAGG